GUGAAAGGUUCUGUGUAAAAGCGACA
rnacentral:piRNA from 1 species